CGGGGCGUGGCGCAGUGGUAGCGCACCCGUUUUGGGGGCGGGGAGUCGUGAGUUCGAAUCUCGCCUCCCCGACCA
rnacentral:tRNA from 1 species